rnacentral:lncRNA from 1 species
CGGAGAGCUUCUGGUAGUUGAGUACGUCCAGCUUCUUCAUCCUCUCCCGGUAGCCCUUGUGGAGCUUGCGGAGGGCGCACAUGGGAUCCUCCCGGGGGGACAAAGGGGUGAGCUUUGGCGGCUUCAGGUCGGCGGAGCCCCACAAGGGAGGCUCGGAGUCCUCGGAUAUGGUGGGCAGAGGCCCGGCGGCCCUCUGCUUCUUAAUCUCCAUCUUCAGCUGGUCUAUCACGUCGUCAUCCCCCCAUAGCGCGUCCAGUUCCUCCUCCAUCUCUUCCCUGCUCUUCUCCCCGAGAUGGGCAUCUCCAAAUCCUCCCUCCGGUUCGCCGGAGUCGCCUCUCGGCGGCGCUGCGUUGUCUUCUCCAUCUCC